CCGUCGAUAGCUCAGUUGGCAGAGCAGUGGACUGUAGGAGAUAGUUGCAGACAUCCAUAGGUCGCUGGUUCGACUCCAGCUUGACAGA
rnacentral:tRNA from 13 species